rnacentral:tRNA from 1 species
AUUGAAAUAGCUUAUUAAGAGUUUUACAUUGAAGCUGUAAAGGAGAUAAUUAUCUUUCAAUA